rnacentral:rRNA from 1 species
GUAGGACUACCCGCUGAACUUAAGCAUAUCAAUAAGCGGAGGAAAAGAAACUAACAAGGAUUCCCCUAGUAACUGCGAGUGAAGCGGGAAAAGCUCAAAUUUAGAAUCUGGCAGCCUACGGUUGUCCGAGUUGUAGCCUAGAGAAGCGUUUUCUGCGUUGGACCAUGUACAAGUCCCUUGGAACAGGGCGUCAUAGAGGGUGAGAAUCCCGUACUUGACAUGGACUCCCAGGGCUAUGUGAUGCGCUCUCGAAGAGUCGGGUUGUUUGGGAAUGCAGCUCUAAAUGGGUGGUAAAUUCCAUCUAAAGCUAAAUAUUGGCGAGAGACCGAUAGCGAACAAGUACCGUGAGGGAAAGAUGAAAAGCACUUUGGAAAGAGAGUUAAACAGUACGUGAAAUUGUUGAAAGGGAAACGCUUGAAGUCAGUCGCGUCGGCCGGGACUCAGCCUUGAACGGUGCACUUCCCGGUGGACGGGCCAGCAUCAGUUUUGAUCGUCGGAAAAGGGUUUGAGGAAUGUGGCUCUUCGGGUGUGUUAUAGCCUCUUGCCGCACGCGACGGUUGGGACUGAGGAUCGCAGCUUCGGCUUAGGAUGCUGGCGUAAUGGCUUUAAACGACCCGUCUU